AUACUUACCUGGUAAGGGAGAUACCAUGAUUAUGAAGGUGGUAUUUCUAGGGUAAAGCUCAUCCAUUGCACGCCUGAUGUUCUGACCCCUGUGAUUUCUCCAAAUGCAGGAAAUCUGACAGUAGAAUUCGUGGUAGAGGAGGAUUAUGUUCAUGCUUUCCUU
rnacentral:snRNA from 1 species